UUUAGGAUGUAUUACCUCGACUGUACCAUAUGGGAAAAUACUGAGUACCGUAAGAGGAAUUUCUUCAUUAGGUUCAAAAGUGGCAGUGCGAGGAUCUGCUGCAUCUAGUAGUACUUUGUCUCCAACCUUAAGUUGAUUUGGUGAGGUAUUGAGCUUGUCCGGGCUCAGUUUUGGUUUAUCGGGUGUUAUCGGUUUCUGUGUCUGCCAUUCAUCUAUCUCCUCAAUUUGUAGCCUUCAUUUUUCAUAGAUAGUCCUUUGUUGUUGUUUGAACACG
rnacentral:lncRNA from 1 species